rnacentral:rRNA from 1 species
GACGUAGGGCGCGAGCGUUGUCCGGAUUUAUUGGGCGUAAAGAGCUCGUAGGCGGCUUGUCGCGUCGACUGUGAAAACCCGAGGCUCAACUUCGGGCUUGCAGUCGAUACGGGCAGGCUAGAGUUCGGUAGGGGAGACUGGAAUUCCUGGUGAGCGGUGAAAUGCGCAGAUAUCAGGAGGAACACCGAUGGCGAAGGCAGGUCUCUGGGCCGGAUACUGACGCUGAGGAGCGAAAGCGUGGGGAGCGAACAGG